GGGGAAUUUUGGACAAUGGGCGCAAGCCUGAUCCAGCCAUGCCGCGUGUGGGAAGAAGGCCUUCGGGUUGUAAACCACUUUUGUCAGGGAAGAAACGGCUCUUACUAAUAUUAGGGGCUAAUGACGGUACCUGAAGAAUAAGCACCGGCUAACUACGUGCCAGCAGCCGCGGUAAUACGUAGGGUGCAAGCGUUAAUCGGAAUUACUGGGCGUAAAGCGUGCGCAGGCGGCUUUGCAAGACAGAUGUGAAAUCCCCGGGCUCAACCUGGGAACUGCAUUUGUGACUGCAAGGCUAGAGUACGGUAGAGGGGGAUGGAAUUCCGCGUGUAGCAGUGAAAUGCGUAGAUAUGCGGAGGAACACCGAUGGCGAAGGCAAUCCCCUGGGCCUGCACUGACGCUCAUGCACGAAAGCGUGGGGAGCAAACAG
rnacentral:rRNA from 1 species